AUUGUAAUUCUCUAGCAGGUCAAUAGCUGCAUAAUUGCACAUUGAGACAAACUUUAGUUGAACAUCGUACAUUGAACGAAAUUCAUAAUAUGCAUAAAUCCCAAACAAUUGAUAAUCCAACUGCCGGAGCGUGUGUUUUCAGAAAUGUUACCACUUACAUAUAUGAACAGUAUCUAGAGGAGCGAAAUAGGUGAUUACCUACAAAAAUAGUUGCCUGAUUUCAAAUUUACGAUAAUUUAUCAUAUAUUAUAUUUGUAUUGCUUCCUCUUGAUGGCUCUGAAAUAUUACUUCUUGGUGCACAGUGGAUUGUUUGUCACUCUGUGAUCUUGUGAAAAUAUAUACUAUGAAACAGAUGCUGCUUUAUAUUUCAGAAUAGUACCGUAAGUGACAAGGAGACAUAUAGGUCUUUUGUCCAGACAUUAGGAUAGCUGAUAUAUCACUUCUUCCGUGGUUUGCUGGUAUUCAUAGUUUUUCUAGUUUUUGCAUUUGUGUUACUGGCUCUUUUUUCCCCUUGGUAGAUAUUAAUGUUACUAUAUCAGCUUUAUUAUCGUUUUUCUUCAAUUCUACAUCUCACUAAUCUCAUCCAACAGUAUACUAUAUGUUUUCACUGUACUUGAUUCAUCACCCCUAGUUUUUGUUAACCUGCAGGAAUUAAGCUAGGUCUCACUCCUUGCAGCUGAAAGCUGGAACAUGCAACCGUGUGCUCAUUUACACAGCAACAAAACUGACACCUGUGGUCCUGAUGCAACACCCCUGGUGAACAGAAUGCAAUAAUUCUUGGACAUUAUCUUUGGAAUAGUUUGAUGUGAUGUGGAAAUCCAGUUGCUCUUAAUAGUAAUGUUAUGUGAUGCGCAGUUGCUUCCUAAUUGUACUUGUUGGUAUGAUUCAGUUGUCAUUAAGUGGGUCAUGUUUGCUUGCUUCUCUCCACAAGUAGUGAAAUAUGAAUAUUUAUAGUUUCUUGAUUUCCAUGGUUUUGUUGACCUUUCUUUUUUAUAUUUUGUUUCUCAGCAGCAUAACAGAAUGAGCUGAUGCAGUGACCUAACAAUUGAGAACAUGUACCUUGAGAUGCAGCUUGGACAUCAUCACUCAUGGAAUCUCUGAUGUGGAGGACAAGCUUGGUGCUAUAGUUCCGAUGAACAGCAUAGAAGUCCUCCAUAGCCAGUGAAACGCUGGUCCGUGCCAUUUUGCCAACAAUGGACCCCAAGUCAAGGAUAACCCCAACAUGGAGUUCCUGUGCUUCUUCUCUAGAAGUGUUUUGGGCGAUAGCAAGGUUGAUUGUCAGCAAGAGGAGCAGGAUGACAUUUUGCAGCUCCAUCUGCUGAGCCGUGAGGUGAGAGGCUUCCACUGCACGUCUUUUCUAUUGGCUCCUGUGAUGGUUGACUUGGAUGUAUUAGUGAAAUGCUCUAUGUGUGAUGAUUGACAGACUUUGAAAUGGUCUUUGAAGUUAUGAUUGGCUCAGUGUGAUAUUCUUUACCCCAACAGAGGAAAGGAGCCAAGGAGUGCUGAGGUCAGAUGGUUUCUCCCCUGCAUACAGAUAACUGGACCCUUGUCCAUAACAAGGAAGUGAAUUAUUGCCCCUUCUAAAACAAGGUAACUCUUAAGUCAAACCUUCUCUUGGCGGAGGGUUUUUUCAUCUGUGAACUACGUCUUAGAUACAUCUGUUUGAGGGACAAGUAAUUCCGGACAGAGAGAGUAGAUAAUUGCCCAUGCGUUGCAACAUGACAUAAAUAUUCUAGCACAUUAACCUGUGAUUUACAUGUUCAUAUUAAUAUGAUUGUGUAAAUAAAUGUUUACUAAAUCCUGUCCGUGAUUUAUGUACCUAAAUAAUUUUUAAGAUUUUACUCCCUCCGUCCCAAAAUAAGUGUCUCAACUUUGUACUAGCUCUAGUACAAAUUUGUACUAAGCUCAAGACACUUAUUUUAGGACGGAGGGAGUAUCUGGUAAUCAUUUAUUUGGUAAAAACUUAUUGGCUUACAAAAGAUAAUUUGGCAAGUCAAAAAAAGGCCAAGACAUUUAAGGCAGUUUUCAAGGAAAACUAAUGAAAAAAAACCAAAGGUGGGAGAAAAGAAUCAAGGCAGAGAGAGGGAGGGAGGAAUGUACUUAAAAUUGAACGAAGGAUGAAGUGGAAGACAGAACCUUACAAUUCUAUUUGUGUGUAGGAGAGAUUGGGAUGGACGCAAUGUUUCUUACCUCGUGUCAACAGUAAAAUCAGAAAAAAUGAAAAUAAUAAUAAUAAUAAUAAUAAUAAUAAUAAUAAUAAAAUUCUGUUUUUUUGGGAAACAUUGACAAAUGUUUUGAGUGCUUGCAAAGUUUUAUUAUGGAAUGACUCGUGGAAGUUGUGACCGAAAAGUCGAUGCUCCAAAGACGAUCUUGUAUCAUGGAGUGCAAGAAAACAACUUAUAAUAUCAAGAUUCAACACAGAAGCAAAAUAUAGGUCUCUUGCAAACGCAACAACAAAAGUAAUUUUUGGAGCAUUGUUACACUCCCUUCCCCGCAAAAAAAAGUGAUACGGGUUCAAUCAUUGUUACAUUUUUUUUUGAAACUUCAAUCAUUGUUACAACAGCUUGGUGUUUGUCACCCACAAGCAGCAACCUUAUGGUGUGAUAAUAUUGAUGCCAAGUAUCUGUCAACAAAUCCUAUGGUUCAUGCUAGAACCGACAGGGCGUUUUGGUGCCCGAGCCCAGCUGAACCUGAUAUCUUCACCUUCCAUUCUGCGCUCGGGAUCUGUGAAAAGAGUCUGCCGUGUCAGGCGCGGGUCGCAGAAAAUAGGCAGCGAGGCGAAAUACGGUAGGAAACAGUGCGCUAGCAGUCGGCCAGGGGCGUGCGGUUUUGACGGAGCAGGCGCGGGCGUGAACUGGUCCGUGGACCAGGACGUUAGUGUUUUUGCGUUCCAUGGAUCAGAUAAGGGGAACAGGCCGGUGCCGAGAAACUGAGCCGUCCGUCUCACACGUUUGCGACACACGUGCGUCUCGGUCGUUCUGGAAAACCCUUGCCGCCCAACCACCCCCGGCCGCCACCAUCCGCCGGCCGCCACACCACGCUGCGACGACCGGCAAGAGUAUUUCUUGCGGCGGCGAUAGCUGGUCGACGGCAACCGCUACGUGAGCGACAUGGAAGAUGCUGGAUUGGACUUCUUCCUUGAUGCCAUUGACAGGUUCCCCCUGCAGGAAUUCGCGGACAGCCACGAACACCCAGAUUCGGUUCCUCUGAUUUUGUUGGCGAGCGGCGGAGUAGGAGCGACGGCCCCUGCUGAUUCCAAUGCUUGCUCCGGUUGUGGUCAGCAGAGCGGCGGCGACGGCAGCGAAGCUGCGCGUGCUGGGGUUCGGCGACGACAGGAGUCAUCCCCGACGAGGUCCACAGUCCACCGACAGAGUCAAUCCCCAGGCCCCUCUGGUUGCACAAAAAGAUUAAGGCUGGGUAGUGCGUCGCCCGACCGGAUGCCAUGUCCAUCCAGAAUGAUUUCUAUGGAUUGGAAUAGUCGAUUUGCAAAUAAGCAGAGGAAUCAACAAAAAGUGUGACAAGGCCUGAACUAAGUUUCAGUUUUUAUUCCUUUGGCUGAGGCUCGGUAGCACCCUCCCUGAUAGAACCCCAUGCGCUUCCCGGAUGAGUGUGCUGGUGCGAUUCGGAAAUUUGUGGAGAAACCAACAAAAGUGUGAUCAAGCCUGAGCUGGGAUCAAACUUUGACUCCCUCGGCGAGGCGUACAAUUUCUACAAUUGUACUUGUGGGAAGUGGGAUUCGGGAUAAGAUAUUAUAAAAGCAGAUUGAACGCGGAGAGGGAGAAAUCAAUGCAGGAAAUUGUGUGUGAAUGCUCAGGAAAGCCUGAAGUCGGGAACAACCGGUCUUGCAGAUGUGAGUGUCCGACGCUGAUCAGGCUCCUGAGUCCUGAGUGUCAGAUAUCAGUUGUUUUUUAACAGAGCAUCGUGAGAAACAUAACCACUCAAUGUCUCUGAUGAUGGGAGAGAAAGUGCAUUAGCCAUCAGAAAGUUGUGAACCACAUGCUCACAGUAAACGAGAUUGAAAAUGCCUGGACUAUAUUGAUGGAAAAGUAUAAUCUGAAACAGCACCCAUACAUGAUGGAGAUAUAUGAGAUCAGGACCAAGUGGGUGAACCCUUAUUUCAAGGGGGUUCUCUGUGCAAGAAUGACAAGCACACAACACAACAAGAGUGCUAAAUAAUAUGCUGAAAACGUAUAUGCCUCGUGCCAUUGCAGUGCACAUGUUUGUGAGCCAGUACAUAUGGCUCCAGUUUGACCGUGAACGUGAUGAGAGCUACAAGGAGAAAAGAACAAGGAUUUUAAAGUGGAGCCGUGCGGCGUAUAAACCCUGUGAUCGAGAGGCAUGCAAUCAAGGUUUAUACUCGAGACAUGUUCUAGUAGUUUGGUCAGUUCCUUAUUGAGGGAACUGCAUAUAAUGUGACUGAGAUUGACAAGGGUAAGAAGUAUGUGACGACAUAUAACCAUGCGACCAACCGGGAGAAGUGGAGUAGCAUAGUCUACGAGGUGAUGGACGUAUUGAAUUUGGCUGAAAUACCGGAGAAGCACAUUGUUAAGUGUUGGAAAAAAGACGCGGGGGAUAUACUACCCAGACAUCUGGUCCAUUACCAGAAGAAUGGAGCAGUGAACCAUUCAUUCACUUGUAGGCACUCCACAGUGACCUACAAGCGAUUGAUAUUGUUAAAAUGAGUGAUGAGAGGGCGGAAGAGUUUGAUCGCAUGUUGAGGAAAUGAAAGCAGUAAUGCUGAGUUGUGCUCCUUUGGCUGAGAAGAGGGAUGAGCCCGAUUUUGAAGACCAGCAGACAACAUAAUCUGCUUGAAGGAAUGCCGGUAAUGGCUAGGUUGCCGCAAUAGGAGAUGGUCCUCCUACUGAAAAGCAUAGUUUGGGAUUCUCCGGUGGUGUAAAUGCACGGCAGGGACUAGCGCCAGCGGCAAAGGCAGAGGGGAGCUGGUAGGCUGACAAACAGCUGUUACAAGGCUCCUUGCGAGGGUUUGAGCGAGCGGACGGGAUUCUGCAGGAUCUGCCGAAGGCAAGGGAACAAGAGAACAACUUGCCCUGAACGCGGGGAUGCCCCGAAGCAGCCUUGCAAACUCGGGAAGUGCAAGAAUUGUGGAGUUGAGGAGCACAUGCGUAACAGUUGCACAAGGCCUCUGCGCGACAAUUGGUGGAAAGAAUAAGAUGAGGUUGAUAUUUGUAUGAUUCCAUUAGCAUUUGAGGAUUUUCUAGCAGUGCUUGUGUAUGCAUGGCUUAGAAAGCAUAUGUGAGUGCAAGUAAAUGAUGAUACACUGUUGCAUUUAGUGGGUGAGUGUUUCAAUUUGAAAAUUGAACUUGGGUUGCACUGAA